GAGGGAGAGAGAGAGAAGUAGAUAGUAUUUUGGUAUUUAUCUGGGUUUGAGGAAGGGGAUAUACUCAAGGAGGGUUUUUGUUUUGGGAGUAAUAGAAAAAGGCUUUUGGGGUUACAUUGGAUCUGGGUUUUUUGUAGGGUUUAAGGGGUCGGUCUUAGUUUUUAAAGACAGGCAAGAGAAGAGGUGAAGGGGGUUGGAGAGAGAGAGAGAGAGAUAAAA
rnacentral:misc_RNA from 1 species